rnacentral:rRNA from 1 species
AACGAACGCUGGCGGCAGGCUUAACACAUGCAAGUCGAACGCAUCCUUCGGGGUGAGUGGCAGACGGGUGAGUAACGCGUGGGAACGUGCCCUUCAGUUCGGGAUAACCCAGGGAAACUUGGGCUAAUACCGGAUACGUGCGAGAGCAGAAAGAUUUAUCGCUGAAGGAUCGGCCCGCGUCUGAUUAGCUAGUUGGUGGGGUAAUGGCCCACCAAGGCGACGAUCGGUAGCUGGUCUGAGAGGAUGAUCAGCCACAUUGGGACUGAGACACGGCCCAAACUCCUACGGGAGGCAGCAGUGGGGAAUAUUGGACAAUGGGCGCAAGCCUGAUCCAGCCAUGCCGCGUGAGUGGUGAAGGCCUUAGGGUUGUAAAGCUCUUUCGUCCGGGACGAUAAUGACGGUACCGGAAGAAGAAGCCCCGGCUAACUUCGUGCCAGCAGCCGCCGUAA